rnacentral:rRNA from 1 species
GAUGAACGCUGGCGGCGUGCCUAAUACAUGCAAGUCGAGCGAACAGACGAGGAGCUUGCUCCUCUGACGUUAGCGGCGGACGGGUGAGUAACACGUGGAUAACCUACCUAUAAGACUGGGAUAACUUCGGGAAACCGGAGCUAAUACCGGAUAAUAUAUUGAACCGCAUGGUUCAAUAGUGAAAGACGGUUUUGCUGUCACUUAUAGAUGGAUCCGCGCCGCAUUAGCUAGUUGGUAAGGUAACGGCUUACCAAGGCAACGAUGCGUAGCCGACCUGAGAGGGUGAUCGGCCACACUGGAACUGAGACACGGUCCAGACUCCGACGGGAGGCAGCAGUAGGGAAUCUUCCGCAAUGGGCGAAAGCCUGACGGAGCAACGCCGCGUGAGUGAUGAAGGUCUUCGGAUCGUAAAACUCUGUUAUUAGGGAAGAACAAAUGUGUAAGUAACUAUGCACGUCUUGACGGUACCGAAUCAGAAAGCCACGGCGAACUACGU